UCAAUUUUUGCAUUUUCAGAUUUAAGUUUAAUCUCACGAAAAAUAUAUAUUUGAGAUCAUUAUUGUAUUUACUACACUGUGAAGUUUACGUUCGUGUUUUUGUGUUUGAAUUGAAGACAAGAUGGUUAUGGCAAUGCAUGGAGCUACACAAGUCUUACAGCACACUCUUCCUUCUGCGGGAGGAAUUAGAGGAUGUGGCAACCCUGCCAAUCCUUUUGGAUUUCAAGUUGUCAACAAUGUAAUCCCCGUUGCCACAAAUACAAGCCAUUUGCCAAUGGAGUCUCCUGUAAUGCAACUUAAUGGUUUUAUUCCGCCACAACCACCAUGUUCACAACACAUUGUUACGUCACAAUCUCGUCCAUCAAUCUGUGGAACUCCAUCGAAUAUCAGCAUGCAUGAAUUGCCAGACAAGGACGAUGACGCUGUCAAGCUUUUUAUUGGCCAAGUUCCUAAACACUGGACGGAGAGCGAUUUGAGACCAAUUUUUGAGCCGUACGGAGAAAUUUACGAACUGUCUGUUCUGCACGAUAAAUAUACAGGAAUGCAUAAAGGAUGUGCGUUCCUCACUUACUGCCAGAAAUCUUCAGCUAUCAAAGCACAGAAUUUUCUUCAUGAACAGAAGACUUUGCCCGGGAUGAACCACCCCAUGCAAGUAAAGCCUGCUGACACUGUGAAUAAAGGAGAAGACAGAAAACUUUUUGUUGGAAUGCUCGGUAAGCGACAAACUGAAGAUGAUGUCAGAAAAAUAUUUGAAAAGUUCGGCCACAUCGAAGAAUGCACUAUUCUCAGAACUCCUGAUGGACAAAGCAAAGGUUGUUCAUUUGUGAAACUGUCAUCCAAUGCUGCUGCCAAAGCUGCCAUUGAAUCUCUGCAUGGAAGUCAAACUAUGCCGGGAGCGUCGUCAAGCAUCGUUGUAAAACUUGCUGACACAGACAAGGAAAGAGCGAUUAGAAAAAUGCAGCAAAUGGCUCAAAACUACGGCUUGAUUAGCCCAGUGACUCUGCAACUUGGACCAUAUGGAACCCCCUUGCCACAGAUGGCUCAACACCCUAUAGUCGCUGCCCCCGGAGUCAUGCCUACUGCUGGUUGGUCUCCUGUUGCCACAGCCCUUACAACUGCCACACAGCUGGGCCAUCUCACUCCUGGAUCUGUAAUGCAAACUGCCAAUGGUCCAACUCAAAUCGCAGGAAUUCCAAGCACUCCGCAAAGUCCCGUUGCAUCCAUCACAACUUUGAAUCUUGUUCCACCACCUAUUGUCUCCCAAGCCAACGGACUGGCAACCCCACAAGAAGCUCUCUAUCCCCUGCAGGCCUAUCCAGGUACUAGGCUAGCCCCUGUGACCACCGCAAGUGCUCAUAGCAUGAAUGUACAAAAUGGAUCCCCUGACACUGUCAGUAUUUGUGCAUCUCAAACUCCACCGACCAUGGAGAUGAUGCAGCCACCAAGCUACGCACAACCAUACACAGUUGUGUAUGUGCCACCAGGACAAUACGCUCAAGUACCAGCCCCCCAACACAUUGCUCAGCCCCCACUGACCCCAAUCACACCCACUCAAGCUGCACCAGCUGUUAUCAGCAGCCCGACUGCACCACAGAAAGAAGGUCCGGAAGGUUGCAAUCUUUUCAUUUAUCAUCUUCCACAAGAGUUCACGGAUGCUGAUCUUGCAAAUGUUUUCCAACCUUUCGGAAAUGUUAUUUCUGCAAAAGUGUUCAUUGAUAGAGCAACGAACCAGAGCAAGUGUUUUGGAUUUGUAAGUUACGACAAUCCAGUCAGUGCUCAGACUGCAAUCCAGACCAUGAACGGAUUCCAGAUCGGAAUGAAAAGACUUAAAGUCCAGUUGAAGAGACCAAAGGAGCAAAGCAGACCAUACUGAUUUAUGAAUUUGUUCCAAUGUAACCACAUUCCAAUAAAUUUAACUAUGUUAAAUUUGAGUUAGUCGGAGAAUAUGCCUCUCUGGUGACAUACAGUGACGAAAAAGUGAAGGCGAGUUAGAGUUCAACAAUGGAAACAUUCCACAACAGUACUACGAAGAAGAAUCAUUCAUCCUCUCGUUAAUCAAUUUUUAUUUCUUUAUUACGACGGUACUUUUAAAUUUCGAAGCUGUCUAUUUUAUUUAUUUCUUGAAUUGACUUGCUAAUAUGAUAUUGUAUACAUUAAUGAAAUGCUUUACAACUUUUUAUGGUUCAUUUUUCUUUCAAGUCUUUUAUCCCACCCCUUAGUAAGGUAAGGGUUAAUUUUCAUGGAUUUUAAAUAAUAUAAUUAAAGAAUUUUUUCACUUGUACCAUGACACAAUAUUAACCCUUACUUUGUCAUGUAAUGUCUAAUGAGCCAAUUAAUAUAUGUGUAAGGUCUGGUCCAAAUUCUGCCACUCAGAAUUUUUCACCACUGGGAGUCAGUGGACCACGACUGGCCAGAAUAAUCCUCUUUCAAAAA